UCCCUGAUGGCUCAGAUGGUAAAGCAUGUGCCUGCAAUGCAGGAAACCCAGGUUCGAUCCCUGGGUGGGGAG
rnacentral:tRNA from 1 species